GACGAACGCUGGCGGCGGGCUUAACACAUGCAAGUCGAACGGAGUGGCGAACGGGGGGGUAACUCAUGGGUGACCUGCCCUGCACUUCGGGAGAAGCCUGGGAAACUGGGUCUAAUCACGCAUAGUGUGGGAUGGGCCCGCGGCCUAUCAGCUUGUUGGGGGGGUAAUGGCCUACCAAGGCGGGGACGGGUACCCGGCCUGGGAGGGUGGACGGCCACAAUGGGACUGAGACACGACCCAGACGCCUACGGGAGGCAGCAGUGGGGAAUAUUGCACAAUGGGCGGAAGCCUGAUGGAGAGACGUCGCGUGGGGGAUGACGGCCUUCGGGUUGUAAACUCCUUGCACCCUCGACGCGGUAGAUGGAGAAGAAGCACCGGCUAACUACGUGCCAGCAGCCGCGGUAAUUC
rnacentral:rRNA from 1 species